AAUCCAAAAGGCCUUUAGGGUUUUCAUCACCGACACUCCGGCCUGGAUUUUUAGGCCCUCACAUUGUCAGUACUUGUUCCUCUCUCUUUUUAACAUCUCAGCUCAAUGCUUAAAUGAGUCCCGUGCAGAGAUUUCCUGAUCUGGUUUGUGUCAACUGCCUGUAAUGUGUUUGAUAAAAUGCUUGAACGGGUUUCUUGGUUAUUUUUCUUUUAGGUUUUCUUGUUUUGAUUACUUAUUUGUUCUCCACUAGUAUCCUCUGUUAUUAACCAUGUUGAGGCCCUAUUAUGCCCUCUUUAUAUCAUCAAUUCAUCGUCCUUAGUGUGUGAGAUGAAAUGUCCAAACGGAAAUCCGAUCAUUAUCCUUUGAGCAUCCGCCAUGUAAUGUCUGAUUACCUUUGUCUAUGAUCUUUGCCUAUAACGAGUUUGAUGGGAUGUCUAAGUGAAACAAAAAACGAAACCCCCUUCUUUUUACUCUCCUUGAGUCACUAGCCAUGAUCAUGUUUGUCGUUGAUGCUCGUUCUCAUGCUUAGGGUCAACCAAACAAAUCGAAGCGGACUGUCACUUUAUCCGGGAGAAAGUUAACAACGUGAAAGAACUAGUGGAUAACUUCCCAAAGCCAUUUAGCUUUCAGAGAAUGUGGACAACUCACAUCAGAUUUAAAGAGGUGGUGAAGGAAAUAUAGGAGUUGUUUGCAUCGCUGAUGGUUCAAGUCUUUUUGAAAAUGAAGAAGUUGAAGCUUAGGGAAUAGAACAAGGAAUUCGGGACAUUUUCCAAAAUGUCUGAGUCACGGAGGAUGCAGUUUUGAGGCUGAAUGUGAUCUCACGUUUCCAAAAUGUCUGAAUGAGGCAUCUCCUAAUCUCCAGAAGAUUAGGAGAUGCCUCAUUCAUAGGAAGAAAUGCCUACAGAGGUUAAGCCUCAACUCUUGGUCCUCCAAAUCCGGCGCCCUUGGAAGCCGGAUCAUUAUUCUAGGGUAAUACCUUCGAGAGCAUUACAGGUGCUUUGUACAAUGUACAAGCUAGCCUACAACCUCUUUGCAAACAAGUUUGAAUGUUUACUUGGUGUAAUAAUGGAUCAGGCCAUAAGAGAGCAUGGGUGAGAGUGGAAAGGCUACUAGUUACAUGGAGUAGGUAAGGGAAUUCUCUACUUUUAAAAUCUCCCACCUCUCAUCUCUUCUCUGAUCACUCUCUUAUUUUGGUGCCAGUGAAAGAACUAGUGGAUAACUUCCCAAAGCCAUUUAGCUUUCAGAGAAUGUGGACAACCCACAUCAGAUUUAAAGAGGUGGUGAAGGAAAUAUAGGAGUAGUUUGCAUCGCUGAUGGUUCAAGUCUUUUUGAAAAUGAAGAAGUUGAAGCUUAGGGAAUAGAACCAAGGAAUUCGGGACAUUUUCCAAAAUGUCUGAGUCGUGGAGGAUGCAGUUUUGAAGGCUGAACGUGAUCUCACGUUGUCCAGAUCGGAGGAAAGUGGCACAUCCCUUGAGGGUGCGAAAUCCGAGCUAGUUAUGGCUCUCCUUCAUGAGGAAAUCUUCAUGGAGCAGAAGUCUAGGAACCAGUGGCUGGUAGAAGGAGAACACAACACAAGAUUCUUUUAUGACCCUUGCAAACUGGAUAAAGAUGGAAUUGGAUUUUUUUUUUUUUGGGGAAUCUCAGUCAGAAAUUGAGACUGAAGUGGUCAGGUUCUACAGCUCCCUUUAUACAUUGGAAGGUGAUGGGCCAACAUAUGAUAUCCAUAGCAGCAUCCCCAGCUUACUUUUAGACCAAGAUAAUGAUGAUCGUUUACAUGCUCCGGAUAAAGUGAAGGUGACAACAUUUUCUACUACUCAGGAUCAGUGUUUUAAAUAGCUAUGCUAUGUAGCAUGUAGCUUAUGCUACGUAGUGUGGCUUAGCCAUGAUGCUACGUAGCUCAUGAAAAUAGUUAAAGUCGCAUGUAGCCUACGGUGCAUGAUUAAUUUGCAUACACUACAUGCCUCAUAGACUAUGCCACAUGCUAUGUAGCUCACAUUAUAAGUUGUUUUUCACUGCAACAUUAAAAUCAAUUAAUGUUUUCAAUGAUUAGUUAACAUUUUUUAAAAUAAAAAUUAGUUAAUCAUUUCAAUGCUUUUAGUUUUUAGUAUUAAGUAAGUUUCAUUGUUCUUUCUUUACCUUUAUACUUAAAAUCAUUACCCUUUCCUAUUAUUUUAGGUUGCAUUUGGUUGCACCAAAUAUCAUGAAAUUUUGUUAAAUUUCUUCAUUAAUCAAUCUAAUUUAGUACAGAAUAUCUUGAAAUUAGUGCAACCAAGCGAGCUUGAUUAAAAAUCUAGAAGUAGUGUGUUGCUUACUCUGCAUGCUAUGUAGCUUAUGCCUCACGUUUCAGAGGGGCGAAUGCUACGCUACACGCUAUUCACUAUUUAAAACACAGCUCAGGAUAGCACGCCAGGACCGGAUGGCUACUUGAGCAGUUUUUGCAUGUUUCUGCUAGGAUGUUAUAGGGGAAGAUAUUUUUAAUGUAGUAUGCAAGUUCAUGGAAGGGGGAGAGAUUCCACGAGCCUUUGGUAGCUCUCUGAUCUGCAUGUUUCCUAAGAUCGCGAAGCUUGAAAAUUGUCAGAUUUCGGCCGAUAAGCCUCUGCAAUUGCAUUUACAUGAUUUUCUUGAAGCUUUUGGCCUUGUGUGUAUCCAAGAUUCUACCAAAGCUAAUUUCUGAAGAACAAGGGCCAUUUGUGCAGGAUAAAAGUAUCUCAGAAAACAUUGUGCUUGCCCAAGCAAUGUUUGGGGAGAUCGACCGAAAGGUGAGAGGAGGUAAUAUGUGGUCAUCAAGUUAGAUAUGGACAUGACGUAUGAAAGAUUGGAAUGGGGAUUCAUCUCUCAGGUCUUGGCGAGCUUCAGCUUUGUAUCCUAAUGGGUCAAAUUGAUGGAAGGCUGCCAGAAUAGUUGCUAGUUCUCCACAUUGGUGAAUGGUAAGAUUUCCAGUUUCUUCAAGCCAUCCAGGGGCCUAUGCCAGGGAGAUCCCCUUGCGCCAAGGCUAUCUAUUCUAGCCACAAAUGCUAUAAUCAGGGUUUAUCUCGGCUAUUUGAAAGAGGUAUCUGCCAGCCUUUCCACCUUCUUCGUGCUUGCCUAACCAUUUACCAUCUCCUUUUCUCCCAUGGUUUCUAUUUACAAAUGGUAGAACCUCAUCGAUCAAGAAUCUAAUGGCCUUUCUUCAGGACUA